CAGUGGAAUCGGGUUUUGAGCCUGAGGCCCUCGGGUCCCGAAGCCGAUACCUUACCACUAGGCUACUCCCU